UUUUUUGUUUUUUUGCUUUUUAGGGCCCCACCCUCGACAUAUGGAGGUUCCCAGGCUAGGGUUUGAAUCAGAGCUACAGCUGCCAGCCUACUCCACAGCUACAGCAACUCAGGAUCUGAACCAUGUCUGCGACCUACACCACAGCUCACGGCAACCCCGGAUCCCCGACCCACCGAGCAAAGCCAGGGAUUGAACCCGCAUCCUCUUGGAUACUAGCAGGAUUCUUCCUGCUACACCACGACUGGAACUCCCAUCACCUGUUGUUUUUAAAAGAAUGUGUCGUCCCUUCUGGAAGGAGCUAAAAGGCAGGCAUGGGAGAAAGCGGGAUCCAAGAAGGUGAUUCGGGAGAAAAGGAGGGCCUGCUUUACCCACCGCCCUGAGGGAAGCAGCGCCCGUCUGUUCAGGAAGACCCAGGCAGAAGGGCCAAGUGUGCCACGUGGUGAUGCAGUCCACCUCCCCAAUCCCAACAUCACUUCCACGAUUUAAAUUUCUUUCCCCCAGACCUUUUAAAUAAAAUUAUUAUUAUUAUUUUGCUUUUUAGGGCCAAACCUGCAGCAUCUGCAAAUUCCCAGGCCAGGGGUCCAAUCAGAGCUGCAGUUGUAGGCUUACACCCCAGUCAUAGCAAUGUCAGAUCUGAGCUGCAUCUGCAACCAGCUUGGGGCAACUCUGGACCCGUAACCCACUGAGAAAGACCAGGGAUCAGACCCGCAUUCACGUGGAUCCUAGUUGGGUUCCUAACCCACUGAGCCACAACGGGUACUCCUUUGCUCCUCCUCUUUAUGCCCCCACCUCCUGUUGGGAGGCCUAGCACUAAAACCCUCUCCACCUGGGGCAUCUCUCGGACAAGUCAGGACCAAAAUCCUCCCUUGCGGGGAAAUGACUCAGCAAGCCUCUUUAUCUUCAUGUGAAUAUGAGGCAUGGAAGCAGAAGGCCUCAGUUCUCUGCUUGAGGUGUUUUCAGUAUCAAUGAACAGAGGGGAGGAAAUAGUGUCAUGCUGGUGGCGACAGCCCUAUGUGAUAGAUGGACGAUGGACGGGAGGCUGAGAAAAGAGGACACCCCCCUGAGGUCUUCCAACCUGAUGGCCUUCAAGGCAGAGGAUACAGGUGAUUCUGCACCAAGCCUGUUCCAGCCCAGGCAGGUUCACCUGAACUGUCCUGAGAUGAUGGAUGGAAACUGGGUGACUUCAAGGCACACUGCCCGGCCUUGGUCGGUGGGGUUUUAGCCCCAUCAUGGGUCCAGGCAAAUGUAUUCCGAUGACAGUUCCCUGCCCACACAGGGACUCUUGAAGUGACUGGCUCGGGGGGCGGGGGAGCCUUAGUGCAUUUUUAACAGCAAGUUUGAGUCUUGGUCCUGGGGGCUACACAUUCUGAAACCAAAGGACAGGGGCUGCAUUCCUACUUUCUCUUAUCU
rnacentral:lncRNA from 1 species